AUGAACGCUAGCUACAGGCUUAACACAUGCAAGUCGAGGGGCAGCAUGGUCUUAGCUUGCUAAGGCCGAUGGCGACCGGCGCACGGGUGAGUAACACGUAUCCAACCUGCCGUCUACUCUUGGACAGCCUUCUGAAAGGAAGAUUAAUACAAGAUGGCAUCAUGAGUCCGCAUGUUCACAUGAUUAAAGGUAUUCCGGUAGACGAUGGGGAUGCGUUCCAUUAGAUAGUAGGCGGGGUAACGGCCCACCUAGUCUUCGAUGGAUAGGGGUUCUGAGAGGAAGGUCCCCCACAUUGGAACUGAGACACGGUCCAAACUCCUACGGGAGGCAGCAGUGAGGAAUAUUGGUCAAUGGGCGAGAGCCUGAACCAGCCAAGUAGCGUGAAGGAUGACUGCCCUAUGGGUUGUAAACUUCUUUUAUAAAGGAAUAAAGUCGGGUAUGGAUACCCGUUUGCAUGUACUUUAUGAAUAAGGAUCGGCUAACUCCGUGCCAGCAGCCGCGGUAAUACGGAGGAUCCGAGCGUUAUCCGGAUUUAUUGGGUUUAAAGGGAGCGUAGAUGGAUGUUUAAGUCAGUUGUGAAAGUUUGCGGCUCAACCGUAAAAUUGCAGUUGAUACUGGAUAUCUUGAGUGCAGUUGAGGCAGGCGGAAUUCGUGGUGUAGCGGUGAAAUGCUUAGAUAUCACGAAGAACUCCGAUUGCGAAGGCAGCCUGCUAAGCUGCAACUGACAUUGAGGCUCGAAAGUGUGGGUAUCAAACAGGAUUAGAUACCCUGGUAGUCCACACGGUAAACGAUGAAUACUCGCUGUUUGCGAUAUACGGCAAGCGGCCAAGCGAAAGCGUUAAGUAUUCCACCUGGGGAGUACGCCGGCAACGGUGAAACUCAAAGGAAUUGACGGGGGCCCGCACAAGCGGAGGAACAUGUGGUUUAAUUCGAUGAUACGCGAGGAACCUUACCCGGGCUUAAAUUGCAGAUGAAUUACGGUGAAAGCCGUAAGCCGCAAGGCAUCUGUGAAGGUGCUACAUGGUUGUCGUCAGCUCGUGCCGUGAGGUGUCGGCUUAAGUGCCAUAACGAGCGCAACCCUUGUUGUCAGUUACUAACAGGUUCCGCUGAGGACUCUGACAAGACUGCCAUCGUAAGAUGUGAGGAAGGUGGGGAUGACGUCAAAUCAGCACGGCCCUUACGUCCGGGGCUACACACGUGUUACAAUGGGGGGGUACAGAGGGCCGCUACCACGCGAGUGGAUGCCAAUCCCCAAAACCUCUCUCAGUUCGGACUGGAGUCUGCAACCCGACUCCACGAAGCUGGAUUCGCUAGUAAUCGCGCAUCAGCCACGGCGCGGUGAAUACGUUCCCGGGCCUUGUACACACCGCCCGUCAAGCCAUGGGAGCCGGGGGUACCUGAAGUGCGUAACCGCGAGGAGCGCCCUAGGGUAAAACUGGUGACUGGGGCU
rnacentral:rRNA from 1 species